AGGUGGGGAUGACGUCAAGUCAUCAUGGCCCUUACGGCCAGGGCUACACACGUGCUACAAUGGUCGGUACAAAGGGUUGCCAAGCCGCGAGGUGGAGCUAAUCCCAUAAAACCGAUCGUAGUCCGGAUCGCAGUCUGCAACUCGACUGCGUGAAGUCGGAAUCGCUAGUAAUCGUGAAUCAGAAUGUCACGGUGAAUACGUUCCCGGGCCUUGUACACACCGCCCGUCACACCAUGGGAGUGGGUUGCUCCAGAAGUAGCUAGUCUAACCGCAAGGGGGACGGUUACCACGGAGUGAUUCAUGACUGGGGUGAAGUCGUAACAAGGUAGCCGUAGGGGAACCUGCGGCUGGAUCACCUCCUUA
rnacentral:rRNA from 1 species